rnacentral:misc_RNA from 1 species
CCGAAAGGUGGAAGAAGGGAGAGAGGUCGAAAACUCCGCCCCUGCAUCCGCAAAAGCGAGUCAAUACUAUGACCGUCCAUCCUUUCUCCUCCGAAUACUCUCUCGGUAACCCGCGCGCCGCCUUUCCAACCCCUUUCUCUCUUUGUGCUCGAGCCAUCGGGAUAUCGAAAUUCGUUACGUGCCGUAGCGCGAGGACGCUCGACUUGAAAGUUCCCGGCGUCACGAAGCAAACGCGUGUUUUAGGAAUUGACUCGGAUAUGGAGCGAGCGGAAUUCAAUUCUAAAACGGUUUCAGAUACCUUUAUUCUAACCUGUGGACCAUUUAAGUAGAGAUUAAACUUCGAGAUGAGGGCCGAUUCGAGAAAGCGGGUUCCGAUCGAAAAAGUAUUAAGGGGUAAGUCUCUCGCUCCCGUGCUGGGGCGUUUAACUCUCCGAUUGCUUUGACAACUUAAGCAGGCCCUUAAACCUUGCUCGAGCCUCGAUGUAAUUUAUAAGCGGCCGAGGGGGUAAUUCCGUAGGGGAUCGUCAAACUGCCAUGUGGCAAAACCCCCGAGGGAAAGUCAGGGAUUAUACGGUGAUAAAUAAAUAUGUACGUUUAUGCAACAACCACCGUGACUCGGGGUUAGCGUCAAAUUUCGAUUCGCCGGGAUUCGCUAGUGUUACCCUCCGUUAAAUAAACAGAAAUUAAAGUAGUACGGGUGCUCGGAUCUUUGACUUUUGUCCCGAAGCAAAUCAGUUUAUAUAAUAGAUUGUAUAGAUUGUAUAUGUUUUCGACCUUAUAUAUUAUAUUAUAUAUAAUAUAUGUAUAAUAUAUUAAUGUAAAUAAUGUAAAUAGAGUAAAUGUAAAUAAAAGUAUAAAUUUUUAUUUAUAGCGACCAAAUGAAAAUUGAAAUUGUAAAUUUCAACAUGAUGAUCUGUAAAUAAAUCGCAAUGGAGGAGGUUGAUGGGAGGGCGUUUCGACGAUUCUUACGCAUGUGUACUUUUAUUACAAGUGGUUAGGUAAUCAUUACAAUAUAUGUCAUGUGACUCAGUAUCUAGACUUUUACAGCAAAUAGUAUCACAACACGAAAUAUACAAGAAAAGCACAGACGUGUAUCUUUUUACAGCUGUCUGAAAGUUCGUAUCAGUUAUUCAAGUAUAUUCAAAACCUUAUCUUACAUAUUUCAGUGAACAUAAAUAAUACGUUAAAAAAACUCACGAAUAAAUUAAAUAAAAAUUUUUUAUUCCAGUGAAAAUUUUUGUCAUUAGUGUGAUUCAUAUAAAA